rnacentral:rRNA from 1 species
GGGCCCGCACAAGCGGUGGAGCAUGUGGUUUAAUUCGACGAUACGCGAAAAACCUUACCAGCUCUUGACAUGGGGAUUUUGGACCUUGGAGACAAGGUUCUUCGGUUCGGCCGGGUCCCACACAGGUGCUGCAUGGCUGUCGUCAGCUCGUGUCGUGAGAUGUUGGGUUAAGUCCCGCAACGAGCGCAACCCUUGUCCCUAGUUGCUAACAGGUUAUGCUGAGAACUUUAGGGAGACUGCCGGUGACAAACUGGAGGAAGGAAAGGAUGAUGUCAAGUCAUCAUGGCCCUUAUGGGCUGGGCUACACACGUGCUACAAUGGUGGUUACAAAAAGACGCAAUAGGGCGACCUGGAGCAAAUCUAUAAAAGCCAUCUCAGUUCGGAUUGUUCUCUGCAACUCGAGAGCAUGAAGUUGGAAUCGCUAGUAAUCG